rnacentral:lncRNA from 1 species
CUGCCCCCGUCCGAAUCUGUCUGCGGCCAAGCACGCAGGAAAAAGUGCACCACCUUAGAGACACCACUACUGGAAACAGACUAGAAAAAGAAAAUCUGAAUGUUCCUAAGGAAAGCAGACCAGAGAGCAUACAUUUUAGAGACUUUUUGUUCCACGUGCCAUUUAAUAAAGCG